AUUGUUUUGAAGAACAAGCUGUGUCUAGUGGCUAUACAUGUAGCUAAUAGUUGCAUAUCCAUAAAUAUUUAUUGGUGAUGACUAAGGCAUCUAGGAGAGUAGGUUACAGAGAUGAAG
rnacentral:lncRNA from 1 species